GGAUGUGAGGGCAAUCUGACUGUGACAUCUGUCACCCCACUGAUCGCCAGGGUUGAUUUGGCUGAUCUAACUGGCUAGGCAGGUGUCCCCUUCCUCCUUCAAUGCUCCAUGCGCGUCCCUUCCGAAGCUGCACCCUCGGAGAAGAGGACGACCAACUCCAAUAGAGGAGUACCAUGCCUUGGUCAAGGGUAUGAGAGUAGCUGCGCUCCUCUGCUACAGCCUGCAAACAAGCUCUUGAGAUUAGUACCCUCAUGAGCCAAUAGAGUGCUCAGACAUUACUGCAUUAGGUUUCAAGGUUUCAGUGCAUAGCUUUUCGGGGGACACUU
rnacentral:snRNA from 1 species